rnacentral:lncRNA from 11 species
CUCAUAUUGUGUGUUAUCCUCAAAGAUUCUUCAGAGUCCUAGUCGUCUGUUCAUUGAACGUGAGAUCCUAGCCAGUCUUUCACCAUGAAGAUGCUUCUUCUGUUCUUUGCCAUUGCCUAUAUGGUUUUUCAAGUUCAAGCCAUCCCAGUGGAUGACAUUGUUCCAGAUACCAUUGAGCCUAAGCAGGUGGGCGAGGAAGGGACCCCCCUGGGUACAUAUACCUGCAAUAACCGGAGGGGCCUCUGCCAGCGCAGAGACUGGGCCUGUCCCUCGGGCUACGUGUUUGCGGAAUAUCUCAACAAUUGUCCAUAUCCACAUCUGAACAAGUGCUGCGUGCCUUGAAGGCAUGGACGAGGCCCCAAGAAGAAUUCGCUGGAUUCAUAUAAAUAAAUAAAAAUAUUCAAAUUCAGCCAAUUCCCCUUGUGUUUUGUGUUAUUUACUUCGCGUC